AUACUUCUGCGGUACACAUACUAAAAUUGGAACGAUGCAGAGAAGAUUAGCAUGCCCUCUGCGCAAAUAUG
rnacentral:snRNA from 13 species